rnacentral:rRNA from 1 species
UAGAGUUUGAUCCUGGCUCAGGAUGACCGUUAGAGGCAGGCUUACACAUGCAAGUCGUGGGGCAGCGCGCGUUAGCAAUACUUUGGCGGCGACCGGCAAACGGGUGCGGAACACGUACGCAACCUUCCUCAGAGCGGGGAAUAGCCUCUCGAAAGAGAGAUUAAUACCCCAUAGUAUCUCGAAACUGCAUGGUUUUGAGAUUAAAGCUUCGGCACUUUGAGAUGGGCGUGCGGCUGAUUAGGUAGUUGGUAGGGUAACGGCCUACCAAGCCAACGAUCAGUAGCUGAUGUGAGAGCAUGAUCAGCCACACGGGCACUGAGACACGGGCCCGACUCCUACGGGAGGCAGCAGUGAGGAAUAUUGGUCAAUGGAGGAAACUCUGAACCAGCCAUGCCGCGUGAAGGAUGAAGGUCCUCUGGAUUGUAAACUUCUUUUAUAGAAGAAGAAGCCCCAUUAUUCUUAAUGGGUUGACGGUACUCUAUGAAUAAGCACCGGCUAACUCCGUGCCAGCAGCCGC